rnacentral:rRNA from 1 species
CUCUUUUUGANNNUAAUNUAAAGUNNGGCCUGCCCACUGAAAUUUGAAGGGCCGCAGUAUUUUGACUGUGCAAAGGUAGCAUAAUCAUUAGUUUUUUAAUUGAAAGCUUGUAUGAAUGGUUUGAUGAGAAAAUUACUGUUUCAAUUUUAAAAUUUAGAAUUUUAUUUUUAAGUUAAAAAGCUUAAAUUAAAUUUAAAGACGAGAAGACCCUAUAGAGUUUUACUGAAGUUAAAAUUUUAAAUUUUAGAAUUUAUAAUUUUAAAUUUUAAUUAAGUUUUGUUGGGGUGACAGAAAAAUUAAGUUAACUUUUUUUAAAUUUUUACAAUAAUGAUUGAGUUUUUGAUCCAUUAAAAUGAUUAAAAGAUUAAAUUACCUUAGGGAUAACAGCGUAAUUUUUUUUAAGAGUUCUUAUUUGAAAAAGAGAUUGCGACCUCGAUGUUGGAUUAAAAUUAAUUUUUGGUGUAGAAGCUAAAAUAUUAGGUCUGUUCGACCUUUAAAAUUUUACAUGAUCUGAGUUUAAACCGGUGUAAGCCAGGUUGGUUUCUAUCUUAAAUAAAAAUCAAUAUUUUAGUACGAAAGGAUCAAAUAUUGUAUUUAUAAUAUUAAUUGAAGAAUUUUAUUUUGGCAGAUUAGUGCGAAGGAUUUAGAAUCUUUUUAUGUAAAGUUUACAAAUAAAAAUUGAUUUAGUUUUAAUGUUAACAAAUUUUUUAGUUUUAUUUGUAGGAGUUUUAGUAGGGGUAGCUUUUUUGACUUUAUUAGAGCGAAAGCU